AACGCGAAGAACCUUACCAAGGCUUGACAUGCAUUAGAUCGCGUCAGAGAUGGCGUUUCCCUUCGGGGCUGGUGUACAGGCGGUGCAUGGUUGUCGUCAGCUCGUGUCGUGAGAUGUUGGGUUAAGUCCCGCAACGAGCGCAACCCUCGUUCUAUGUUGCCAGCGGUUCGGCCGGGGACUCAUAGGAGACUGCCGGGGUCAACUCGGAGGAAGGUGGGGAUGACGUCAAAUCAUCAUGCCCCUUAUGUCUUGGGCUUCACGCAUGCUACAAUGGCCGGUACAGAGGGUUGCGAUACUGUGAGGUGGAGCUAAUCCCUUAAAGCCGGUCUCAGUUCGGAUUGGGGUCUGCAACUCGACCCCAUGAAGUCGGAGUCGCUAGUAAUCGCAGAUCAGCA
rnacentral:rRNA from 1 species